rnacentral:rRNA from 1 species
UACGUAGGGGGCAAGCGUUGUCCGGAUUUAUUGGGCGUAAAGAGCGUGUAGGCGGCUUUGCAAGUCCGUUGUGAAAACUCGAGGCUCAACCUCGAGACGCCGGUGGAAACUGCAAAGCUAGAGUCCGGAAGAGGAGAGUGGAAUUCCUGGUGUAGCGGUGAAAUGCGCAGAUAUCAGGAAGAACACCCGUGGCGAAGGCGGCUCGCUGGGACGUGACUGACGCUGAGACGCGAAAGCGUGGGGAGCAAACAGG